UACGGGGGGAGCAAGCGUUGUUCGGAUUUACUGGGCGUAAAGGGCGCGUAGGCGGCCACGACAAGUCACUUGUGAAAUCUCCGGGCUUAACCCGGAACGGUCAGCCGAUACUGCAGGGCUAGAGUGCAGAAGGGGCAACUGGAAUUCUCGGUGUAGCGGUGAAAUGCGUAGAUAUCGAGAGGAACACCUGCGGCGAAGGCGGGUUGCUGGGCUGACACUGACGCUGACAGCGCGAAAGCUAGGGGAGCGAACGGG
rnacentral:rRNA from 1 species